AUACGGAGCAUCCGAGCGUUAUCCGGAUUUAUUGGGUUUAAAGGGAGCGUAGGUGGAUUGUUAAGUCAGUUGUGAAAGUUUGCGGCUCAACCGUAAAAUUGCAGUUGAGACUGGGAGUCUUGAGUACAGUAGAGGUGGGCGGAAUUCGUGGUGUAGCGGUGAAAUGCUUAGAUAUCACGAAGAACUCCGAUUGCGAAGGCAGCUCACUAGACUGUUACUGACACCGAUGCUCGAAAGUGUGGGUAUCAAACAGUAUUAGAUACCCUGGUAGGCCUCACAGUAAACGAUGAAUACUCGCUGUUUGCGAUAUACAGUAAGCGGCCAAGCGAAAGCAUUAAGUAUUCCACCUGGGGAGUACGCCGGCAACGGUGAAACUCAAAUUAAUUGACGGGG
rnacentral:rRNA from 1 species